rnacentral:rRNA from 1 species
GAACGGCAGCACAGUAAGAGCUUGCUCUUAUGGGUGGCGAGUGGCGGACGGGUGAGGAAUACAUCGGAAUCUACCUUUUCGUGGGGGAUAACGUAGGGAAACUUACGCUAAUACCGCAUACGACCUUCGGGUGAAAGCAGGGGACCUUCGGGCCUUGCGCGGAUAGAUGAGCCGAUGUCGGAUUAGCUAGUUGGCGGGGUAAAGGCCCACCAAGGCGACGAUCCGUAGCUGGUCUGAGAGGAUGAUCAGCCACACUGGAACUGAGACACGGUCCAGACUCCUACGGGAGGCAGCAGUGGGGAAUAUUGGACAAUGGGCGCAAGCCUGAUCCAGCCAUACCGCGUGGGUGAAGAAGGCCUUCGGGUUGUAAAGCCCUUUUGUUGGGAAAGAAAAGCAGCUGGCUAAUACCCGGUUGUUCUGACGGUACCCAAAGAAUAAGCACCGGCUAACUUCGUGCCAGCAGCCGCGGUAAUACGAAGGGUGCAAGCGUUACUCGGAAUUACUGGGCGUAAAGCGUGCGUAGGUGGUUGUUUAAGUCUGUUGUGAAAGCCCUGGGCUCAACCUGGGAAUUGCAGUGGAUACUGGGCGACUAGAGUGUGGUAGAGGGUAGUGGAAUUCCCGGUGUAGCAGUGAAAUGCGUAGAGAUCGGGGAGGAACAU